AAUCUACUCCCUCCGUUCCAAAUUACUCAUCGCAGAAAUGGAUGUAUCUAGAACUAAAAUACAUCUAGAUACAUUCAUACCUGCGACAAGUAAUUCGGAACGGAGGGAGUAGCAG
rfam:Triticum aestivum genome assembly, contig: Triticum_aestivum_CS42_TGACv1_scaffold_570842_7AS